rnacentral:rRNA from 1 species
GACGAACGCUGGCGGCGUGCUUAACACAUGCAAGUCGAACGGAAAGGCCCUGCUUUUGUGGGGUGCUCGAGUGGCGAACGGGUGAGUAACACGUGAGUAACCUGCCCUUGACUUUGGGAUAACUUCAGGAAACUGGGGCUCAUACCGGAUAGGAGCUCCUGCUGCAUGGUGGGGGUUGGAAAGUUUCGGCGGUUGGGGAUGGACUCGCGGCUUAUCAGCUUGUUGGUGGGGUAGUGGCUUACCAAGGCUUUGACGGGUAGCCGGCCUGAGAGGGUGACCGGCCACAUUGGGACUAAGAUACGGCCCAGACUCCUACGGGAGGCAGCGGUGGGGAAUAUUGCACAAUGGGCGGAAGCCUGAUGCAGCGACGCCGCGUGCGGGAUGACGGCCUUCGGGUUGUAAACCGCUUUCGCCUGUGACGAAGCGUGAGUGACGGUAAUGGGUAAAAAAGCACCGGCUAACUACGUG